UGUAAAUCUUUUUUGUAUAUUCUGCUCAAUGAAAAAUUUUAAAUAGCCGCUUUAGUGCUAAGGUAGCAUAAUAAUUAGUUUUUUAAUUGAAAAAUAGAAUGAAUGAUAUUACAAAAAUAUCUAUGUUUUUUCUGCCAGGUGAAUUUUUAAUUUGGGUGAAAAUACCUAAUAAAUAUUUUUAGACGAGAAGACCCUAUGAAGCUUAUAAAUUACAAAUUUUUCUUCCUAUUUUUAUGUAAAUUUAUUAUUUGGGGAAAAGCUUAAUAUUCUUAUUAAUAAGUAUUUAAUUAAAAUAAUCCUAGUCUUUGGAAAUAUAAAAAAGCUCCUCUAGGGAUAACAGCAUUAUGCUUAUAAGAGUUCUUAUCAGAAUAAGUGUUUGUGACCUCGAUGUUGAAUUAAAUUUAGCUAUAUGUGUAGGAGCUUAUAGAAUUAGGUCUGUUCGACCUUAUAUAAU
rnacentral:rRNA from 1 species